rfam:Gorilla gorilla gorilla genomic chromosome, chr9, whole genome shotgun sequence
GCCGGGCAUGGUGGCUCAUGCCUGUAAUCCCAGCACUUUGGGAGGUUGAGGUGGGUGGAUCACCUGAGGUCAGGAGUUCGAGACCAGCCUGGCCAACACGGUGAAACCCCGUCUCUA